rnacentral:rRNA from 1 species
GACCAGACUCCUACGGGAGGCAGCAGUGGGGAAUAUUGCACAAUGGGGGAAACCCUGAUGCAGCGACGCCGCGUGAGCGAUGAAGUAUUUCGGUAUGUAAAGCUCUAUCAGCAGGGAAGAAAAUGACGGUACCUGACUAAGAAGCCCCGGCUAACUACGUGCCAGCAGCCGCGGUAAUACGUAGGGGGCAAGCGUUAUCCGGAUUUACUGGGUGUAAAGGGAGCGUAGACGGCGGUGCAAGCCAGAUGUGAAAGCCCGGGGCUCAACCCCGGGACUGCUCUUGGAACUGCGCGGCUGGAGUGCAGGAGGGGCAGGCGGAAUUCCUGGUGUAGCGGUGAAAUGCGUAGAUAUCAGGAGGAACACCGGUGGCGAAGGCGGCCUGCUGGACUGCGACUGACGUUGAGGCCCGAAAGCGUGGGGAGCAAACAGGAUUAGAUACCCUAGUAGGG